rnacentral:rRNA from 1 species
AGUCUGGUGCCAGCAGCCGCGGUAAUUCCAGCUCCAAUAGCGUAUAUUUAAGUUGUUGCAGUUAAAAAGCUCGUAGUCGGAUUUUGGCUGAGAACGGUCGGUCCGCCGUUAGGUGUGCACUGACUGGUCUCAGCUUCCUGGUGAGGAGGUGUGCUUCAUCGCCACUUAGUCACCGUGGUUACUUUGAAAAAAUUAGAGUGUUCAAAGCGGGCUUACGCUUGAAUAUAUUAGCAUGGAAUAACACCAUAGGACUCCUGUCCUAUUUCGUUGGUCUCGGGACGGGAGUAAUGAUUAAGAGGAACAGUUGGGGGCAUUCGUAUUUCAUUGUCAGAGGUGAAAUUCUUGGAUUUAUGAAAGACGAACUUCUGCGAAAGCAUUUGCCAAGGAUGUUUUCAUUGAUCAAGGACGAAAGUUGGGGGCUCGAAGAUGAUUAGAUACCAUCCUAGUCUCAACCAUAAACGAUGCCGACUAGGGAUUGGCGGAUGUUAAUUGAUGACUUCGCCAGCACCUUAUGAGAAAUCAAAGUUUUUGGGUUCCGGGGGGAGUAUGGUCGCAAGGCUGAAACUUAAAGGAAUUGACGGAAGGGCACCACCAGGCGUGGAGCCUGCGGCUUAAUUUGACUCAACACGGGGAAACUUACCAGGUCCAGACAUAGUAAGGAUUGACAGAUUGAGAGCUCUUUCUUGAUUCUAUGGGUGGUGGUGCAUGGCCGUUCUU